UGCUAAUAUGCUGCACACAUGCGAUCAUGCAUCCAUGCAAGAUGGAUGGAUCCAUGGAAUUAAAACUUGAUUCAUGCGUACUGAGUACUGACGGACAUUCCCAAGACAGGUAAUAGCAGAUCACGAUCCUCUUCUUUAUCAUGAUCUUUACAAAAUAUUUCUUUCAUUACCUAAAGAUGCGUUGAAGAUUAUCUUGCGGCCACUCAGAAAUAGUCCAGGAAGCUGCAAACCAAGAUCCUGAUCCAUGUAAUAUAUUGAAGUUAGUUUUCAGAUAAUAAUUCAACACCCGUUAAAUCAAAUCCCGGCUAUAAGGUAUGGCUUAUUUUAUCGAUAAAAAUCCUUGGAAUCAAAGACGACCUAAACUUAGCCAUCUAAGGCUUAGGAAAAAUUCAGGUGUAUUCGAAUUUACUCAUGGUGUAUUAUGUUUUUGUACUUGCCAACAUUUUCCAUGCUAUUUUUUUGUCAUUUUUAGUAAAAAAUAAUAAUCUUACAAUGGUGGAAAGCAUCCAUCCAAAUUUGGGACGGUCAAUUCUUGGAAGAAAGCAAUCAUAUGUCCAAGGAAAAAAAUGGUGAGCAAGAUCACUGAAUAUGUAAUGGACAAACUAGAAGGUGAGGACACAAUUUACCGUAGUUCUGACAGUGUACACAAAGCUGUAAAUUGAAGUGAUGAUUCAAUAUUCAGAAGAGUUCCUAAACAACCUAAAGUUUCCUGGAAUUAUAAGCUCAAACUGAACAUUGGAGUACCGGUGAUGCUACUACUUAAUAUAGCCAGAGUGUUGGGUUAUGCAAUUAUAAAACAUUUUUAUCCAGCAUUUUUUUGUAUUAUCCUACUUUGACUAAAUGCCGUAACUGCCUUUUAGAUAAGCAUAAGUGAAUGGAAAUUAGUUUACUGUAAAAUAUCUUUAGAUUAAAACAACUGAAUUACCUAUGCUCUGAUUGUUAUGCAGCCCAGAAGUACUUGCGAGGUACGAUCGAUCUUCAAAGUUUCCACGUGUGGGCCUUCAGUUUUGGGACAAGCAAUCUGUUUAUUUGCUGAUUUUAUUGGUGUUAUUAUGGAGAUCAGUUCACAUUAAUGGAGAGAGGAGAGGAGAGCGUUGGAGUUGAAGAUGGGGGCCUGUGGCUACAC